AGCUAAAAGCAAUAAGUAAGCUUUGCAAAAAUACUUAAGGAGUGCGCUAAAGGUUAUGCCUUUGUGAUGUUGAAACUACCGAAAAAGAAGUUAGAGGAUAGAGAUUAGGAGUUAGAAAUAACUAAUGACUAAGGACUAUCUGACUAAAUUCUAAAAUAUAUAACAAACUUUAGGGUGGUUAUAGCGGUGGGGCUCACCUGUUCCCAUUCCGAACACAGAAGUUAAGCCCACCAGCGCCGAUGGUACUGCUAACGCGGGAGAGUAGGUCGCCGCCAGUU
rnacentral:rRNA from 2 species